CUUCGGAAAGAGAGGGAUUCGAACCCCUCGUGA
rnacentral:tRNA from 1 species